UACGUAGGUGGCAAGCGUUGUCCGGAUUUAUUGGGCUUAAAGGGUGCGUAGGCGGUGUCCUAAGUCUGUUGUGAAAUACGGCAGCUUAACUGUCGAGGUGCAAUUGAUACUGGGAUACUUGAGUACUGAUGAGGUAUGCGGAAUGGACGGUGUAGCGGUGAAAUGCUUAGAUAUCGUCCAGAACACCGAUAGCGAAGGCAGCAUACUAAGGAGUAACUGACGCUGAGGCACGAAAGUGUGGGGAUCAAACAGG
rnacentral:rRNA from 1 species